GUGAGUUUUAUUUGCUGUUGUUUGCUUUUGCUUUAAAAAAAAAAGAAGUUCAGCUUGAAGAGUUUGUACACAUGGGAGACUUUACUGCUGUAGAACGUCUUACUGUUCAAAAUGUAACUUUAUUAGCUGCUGACUGAGCACAGUGAGUAAAAAAAAUACAAAAUUGUCACAAUUUGUUUGAUUAUAAUGUUUAAAUAAAGUCUAUCGACUUCAUUUACUACAAUCAUAUACUAUCCAGAUAACGAUAAAACAUGAUAACACUCAUACACAAAUAUUCCUUAUGCAGUCACAAUUCAGACACGAUUAUCACAUGAUGGUUUGUAGCAGAAUUAAAUGAAGUAAAAACAACCUAAGUGUGUGUGAAACUGACUGUAUAAAACAUGUCAAAACAUAUUCAUUUUAGUUUCAUGUAAGAGCAGCAACGUGCAUUGACUUGCAUUGAAAUUUCACAAAGAAUUGAUUCAACAGUUAAUCAAAAUGUCUCAAAUAGCUAAUGAUUCAUUUGCUGUCGAUCAAGUAAUCGAUGAAGCAGCUGACACACUCAACAAAAAACAUAAACUGCAAAAGAUCUAAGACUUCUUCUCAGAGAGGUUUAUUUCUCUCUAAUUUUGUUCACGAAUUUGUUCAAAACAAAUUGGUAUCUGUAGUUCUGCGUGUAACAGUACAGUGAUAAUAAAUGAAGAAAUGCAAAGAAGAAGUCUUAAAUCUUUAACUCAUGAAAAAUGGGAACAAAAACUAAAGUCUAUAUUUCUGUUGGAUGUACUUUCAGUUCUAGUUACCUCAAUACAUAUGCAGAAUGAACCGGAGAGAGUUCAUCCUCUAAUAAUAAUUUUCAAAAAAAUCAGCACAGUACUUGUUACGUGGACGUCUUUUCCCGCCAAAGGAAACAAAUUCAGUUUUCAGUGCAUGUGAGUGAAGGAAGCCCUUAAACAUCAUCAGUAAGACAUAUUCAGUACAAUACAAACAACCAAAUGUUGUUAGUUUCUCAAUCAAACAACAAACACAGCUACAUACUGUGUUUAGCUGCAUUUUUCAUAUUAUUUCCAAACAGAAUUCACAUUCUCUAAUAACCUUAAAGUCCAGGAGUCAAGGUCCUGCAUCAAGUGUUCCCUUACAGUAUCAGACGUCCUCCAGUACACUGGCUCUCAAAGUGGGGUUCACAAGGCAGCAAGGAGGGUCAUGAGAUGAUUUUCAGAAAUCAAAUAACAAUAAAUUGUUUUUAGAAAUAGCAUAUUUUAGUUAUAAUUGCAACAAAACAUAAAAAUAAAAAAAAACCUUCCAUUUUCUUUGCCCCUUCUGAACUCUGAUGUGAUUAUGACAGAUUAACGACCUUAGCAACAACAAUAUUAAUAUUAAGGUCUAUUAGCAUCGUGCUAAACAUUAUGGCAAGGACAAAUCAUCUGACAUCCGGGGGUCGCAAAUCACUGAUACUGUUGUUUUGGGUGUCAAAUAUACAGAAUAUUAACUCAGAGAAAGCACCGACAUAUAAUGCUGAAGAAUAAUUCACAAUGUGGGGAAAAAUGUAAUGAGCUUCAUGAAAGAACAUCAUAUCUUUGUAUUUGACCUCUUUUAAAACUGCUGAACAGACUGAAUUGUUUUUUCAGCUCGAUCAAAGACGCUCACUGAGCUGCACGUGCUGGUCGCGUUAGAGGAUUUGAAACCUUAAAACAAUGGCGACGAUGUGUCAGCGUGAAAUAACAAGUGAAUGACAGGAAGUUUGGUGCUAAAGAACGUCUUUCCAAAUCAAAGACGGGUCCUUAGAUGUUUGGCUGGACAACAUAGUCGUCACACUACAGGGUUUAAGAGUGACCCUGAGGAAGCUGUCAGUGGAAGAAAUGCUGAAUUGUAAGCCUGUGAAGUGCCAGGAUGUUAAUAAAAGCAUUAAUAAUAAGUGACUUGCGUUGAUUUUAGAUUUAGUUUCAACUAAAAGCAUCAUGAUUUUCUUAAAGCAGGAACUUUCUUUGUGUGUUGAUUCUGGCGCCCUCUGCAGACUAAAAAUGAUUCCACUGCCUCGUAUUGUUUGAUCUCAGGGGAAUCACACUGAAUCUGACCCUGUGGCAGGUAGUGGCAUUGUCCUUGAAAAACUUUGUUCAUGUGUCUUAUCGAGAAGCGUCAGUAAUAAACUGAGACUGUUUCAUAACUAGUUAAAAAAAGAGUUUUUGGAGGGGAGACAGAGACACCAAAGAUGAAGUGUGUGUUUGUAUUUACCUGUUUUUAUUGCUAUGGGGGUGUUGGAUUCCAAUUUUUGGAUUACUGGAAGAUUUUUUUUCUCUUUAUUUAUGAAUUAUUAAUAUUAUUUCUGGAUGUAUUCUAAUUCGAGCUGUCGCGAUGAUAUUGAUUUUUAUUUCGAAAUGGGCUUUCAAAAACAGAAUUCUCUCAGUAUUUUUUUUUUCUCAUUGUAAGGAUCUCCUCUGACAUCUAGUGACUUAUCUUUUUUUUUUGUGCUCAGUUUGUUCCCAACUGUAGGUUAACUAAAUUGCACUUCAAAAAGGAUAUGGUGGUCAUAUCACACUUACUGAUCACUUACUCCAUGCCACAAAAAAUGGUUUGAAUAAUGACAUUUUGAUCCCACUUGGAUCUUCGUGGUGUGGUUAUAAAGCAACACUAGCUUUUCUCUCAUAAACUACUACUACUGUUUUUAAUCAUGUUGAUGCUACACUGAAUUGUAAUCAGGUGAAUGGUGUCUCUGUCAUUCGUAUGUCUGUUUUCACACUAUGUAACUCUAGGUCUGUAGAAAUAUGUUCACUUUACAGCACUAAGUCAGACAUCGCCUACUAUUUCACUGAUUUUGGUGAAACUGGAUCAUAUUUUAUGGUUUUCCCUCUAAUGUCCUGCUCGACUGCUCCGCCUCAACUCUAUUUACAGAGUUUCCUGAUGGACGGUAAACUGCUGCCAAAUGUAGCUGCUGUUAGCUAAUGUUAGCUCAAUUUGUUAGCUGGGCUGCCCGGACUGUGAGCUCAGAGUACCGGGGGGUUGUUUGUACCACGGGGGAGAGGGGGUUUUCAGGCCCAGGACGUGGGGGAAAUCUGAAGGGGAGCAAAGCCAGGGUCGUACAAGGACCAGUAAGUAAUAUUAGCUGGCUGCUAUAUCUUUGUCUUGUCGACUCGCUAGUUUUUGAUCAUAAAUAAUGGAAUCAUAACAAAUACACAUUUAGCUGUCCAUAUUUAAACACACUGGGGUUACACGGCAAAACCAAUGUGAUGUUGCUUUAACCUCACCUACCAUCAUCAAGAUUUGUUCAUGUCUGGAAUUUGUGUGUCUGAGAAAAAAAAAAAACAAAGACGAAAAGACGAGUUGUCCUUUCAUGAGGCCCAUUGUUCAGAAA